GUGGCUCUCUCUAGGGGAGUAAGGGUGGGGAUCCUGAGGACGGGGGAGGAGUGCUGCUGAAGUGGGGUGACUAGGAAGGGUGGUUCUGAGGAGGAAAGGGUGGGGCUCCUGAAGGAUGAAGAGGGAAGGACUGCCGCUGGGGUAACCAGAUGGUGUUUACUAGGGGCUGUAGUAGCACUGAGUAGGGCAAUAAUGCUGACCCUCAGGGGCAGGUAGGGUCUCCUGAGAGUGUGUCCUCCAGGCGAUGGCUCCUGAGGAAAUCAAGAGUAGACAGCCUGAGGAGGGCUUAUGACGGGUGUCAUGGGAAUAAAGGAGUGGUAUUAAGGUGGAUGCCUCAGAUAAACAGACAAACUUUUCACUCAAGACUGGAACCCCCAUCUUCCUGAGCUGGAGAGUCUUCCUCCACACAGUAGGCAGGACAGGACCACCUCUCAGGAUGUGACACCAAACAGUUACUGGGACAAUACAGUCUUGCUCACCUAAGCAUCCCAGGUUGGGACUGGAGUCCCAUGAGCUUUUUGCUGACCAAUAUUCGUGCCCCACUGCAGUCAAACUAUGGUUUGGAAAUAAAGUCUUUUUGUUAUUGUU